AUGAAGAGGCUUAAUUACAAAUUGAAGAAUCUGAGUGAAAUCUGUCUUCAGCGAAAGACAGAUUGUGUUUCUCUCUACUCUCCACUCCAGUCUCUUCUCCACUCACCACUCCAGUCUCUUCUCCACUCUCCACUCCAGUCUCUUCUCCACUCUGCACUCCAGUCUCUUCUCCACUCUCCACUCCAGUCUCUUCUCCACUCUCCACUCUCCGCUCCAGUCUCUUCUCCACUCUCCACUCCAGUAUCUUCUCCACUCUGCACUCGUCUCUUCUCCACUCUCCACUACAGUUUUUUCUCCACUCUCCACUCCAGUCUCUUCUACCCUCUCCACUCCAGUCUCUUCUCCACUAUCCACUCCAGUCUCUUCUCCACUCUCAACUCCAGUCUAUUCUCCACUCUGCACUCCAGUCUCUUCUCCACUCUCCACUCCAGUCUCUUCUCCACUCUCCACUCCAGCCUCUUCUCCACUCUCCACUCCAGUCUCUUCUCCACUCUCCACUCCAGUCUCUUCGCCACUCUCCACUCCACUCCAGUCUCUUCUCCACUCUGCACUCCAGUCUCUUCUCCACUCUCCACUCCAGUCACUUCUCCACUCUCCACUCGGCUCCAGUCUCUUCCCCACGCUCUGCUCCAGUCUCUUCUCCACUCUCCACUCCAGCCUCUUCUCCACUCUCCACUCCAGUCUCUUCUCCACUCUCCACUCCAGUCUCUUCUCCACUCCACUCCAGUCUCUUCUCCAUUCUCCACUCUAUGCUCCAGUCUCUUCUCCACUCUCCACUUCAGUAUCUUCUCCACUCUGCACUCCAGUCUCUUCUCCACUCUCCACUACAGUUUUUUCUCCACUCUCAACUCCAGUCUCUUCUCCACUCUGCACUCCAGUCUCUUCUCCACUCUUCACUCCAGUAUCUUCUCCACUCUGCACUCCAGUAUCUUCUCCACUCUGCACUCCAGUCUCUUCUCCACUCUCCACUCCACUCUCUUUUCCACUCUCCACUCCAGUCUCUUCUCCACUCUCCACUCCACUCUCUUCUCCACUCUCUACUCUCUACUCUCCGCUCCAGUCUCUUCUCCUCUCUCCACUCCAGUCUCUUCUCAACUCCCCACUCCAGUCUACUCUCCACUCUCCACUCCAGUCUCUUCUCCACUCUCCACUCCAGUCUCUUCUCCACUCUCCACCCGUCUCUUCUCCACUCUCCACUCUGUCUCUUCUCCACUCUCCACUCCAGUUUCUUCUCCCAUCUCCUCUACAGUCUCUUCUCCACUCUCCACCCCAGUCUCUUUUGCACUCCAGUCUCUUCUCCCCUCUCCACUCCAGUCUCUUCGCCACUCUCCACUCCAGUCUCUUCUCAACUCUCCACUCCAGUCUCUUCUACACUCUCCACUCCAGUCUAUUCUCCACUCUCCAGUCCAGUCUCUUCUCAACUCUGCACUCCAGUCUCUUCUCCACUCCUGUCUCUUCUCCACUCUCCACUCCAGUCUCUUCUCCACUCUCCACCCCAGUCUCUUCUCCACUCUCCACUCCGUCUCUUCUCCACUCUCCACUCCAGUCUCUUCUCCACUCUCCACUCUAGUCUCUUCUCCCCUCUCCACACCAGUCUCUUCUCCGCUCUCCACUCCAGUCUCUUCUCCCCUCUCCACUCCAGUCUCUUCUCCACUCUCCACUCCAGUCUCUUCCUCACUCUCAACUCCAGUCUUUUCUCCACUCUGCACUCCACUCUCUUCUCCACUCUCCACUCCAGUCUUUUUUCCACUCUCCACUCCAGUCUCUUCUCCGCUCUCCACUCCAGUCUCUUCUCCACACUCCACUCCAGUCUCUUCUCCACUCUGCACUCCAGUCUCUUCUCCACUCUCCAUUCUCCACUACAGUCUCUUCUCCACUCUCCACUCCCCACUCCAGUCUCUUCUGCACUCUCUACUUUCCGCGGCAGUCUUUUCUCCACUCUCCACUCUCUGCUCCAGUCUCUUUUCCACUCACUCUCUUUCUCUUUCAGUUGUAGGCGUGUCAGUACAGACUUGUUUCAGGUGUUAUUUUUGA
ensembl:lncRNA